AGAGUUUGAUCCUGGCUCAGGAUGAACGCUGGCGGCAUGCCUAAUACAUGCAAGUCGAACGAGAGGAAGGAAAGCUUGCUUUUCUGAAUCUAGUGGCGAACGGGUGAGUAACACGUAGGUAACCUGCCCAUGUGCCCGGGAUAACUUCUGGAAACGGAUGCUAAAACCGGAUAGGUAGCAGACAAGCAUUUGACUGCUAUUAAAGUGGCUAAGGCCAUGAACAUGGAUGGACCUGCGGUGCAUUAGCUAGUUGGUGAGGUAACGGCCCACCAAGGCGACGAUGCAUAGCCGGCCUGAGAGGGCGGACGGCCACAUUGGGACUGAGACACGGCCCAAACUCCUACGGGAGGCAGCAGUAGGGAAUUUUCGUCAAUGGGGGGAACCCUGAACGAGCAAUGCCGCGUGAGUGAGGAAGGUCUUCGGAUCGUAAAGCUCUGUUGUAAGAGAAAAACGACAUUCAUAGGGAAUGAUGAGUGAGUGAUGGUAUCUUACCAGAAAGUCACGGCUAACUACGUGCCAGCAGCCGCGGUAAUACGUAGGUGGCGAGCGUUAUCCGGAAUGAUUGGGCGUAAAGGGUGCGUAGGUGGCAGAACAAGUCUGGAGUAAAAGGUAUGGGCUCAACCCGUACUGGCUCUGGAAACUGUUCAGCUAGAGAACAGAAGAGGACGGCGGAACUCCAUGUGUAGCGGUAAAAUGCGUAGAUAUAUGGAAGAACACCGGUGGCGAAGGCGGCCGUCUGGUCUGUUGCUGACACUGAAGCACGAAAGCGUGGGGAGCAAAUAGGAUUAGAUACCCU
rnacentral:rRNA from 1 species